GUAUGUUUGGAAAUUAGCAGAUUUCCUUUUCCUUUUCGUUCUUUGUUGUUGUUUGUUUUUGUGGGUUUAUUUGUUUUGUUUUGUUUCUGUGUCCUGGUUGUCCAGGAAUUUGCUCUGUAGAUCACACUGGCCUUGAACUCCUAAGUGCUGUAAUUACCUCUCAGCUCUCUUUUCUUUUUUAAAGGUAGUUUUAUAAAGCACAGAUGGCCUUGAACUUCUUGACCCUUGAUCCUCUUUUAAGUGCUAGGAUUCUAGGCCUUUUACCACACCAGUUUUAUUCAGUGUUCAGGGCUUCUUGAACAUUAGGUAAGCACUCCCACAAGCUUCAAUUAAAACGAUUAUUGGCAUAUAUUAAGUAUAUGAUAAUGGGUCUCAUUUUCCUCUUUUUAUUUUAUUAAAAUUUUGUAUUCAGUAUAUUUUGAUCAGUCUUUUCCAUCACCCUACUCCUCCCAGGUGUCCUCACCUCCCUCCCUAUGUACCUAACUUCUUGUUCUUUCAAAAAAACAAAAAAAAAAAAGAAAGAAAAUAAAAAUAAACACCUAUAAAACAAACAAACUAAAAUGAGCCCUCAACAAAACAAGGAGUUUGUGUUGGCCAGCUGCUCUUAAAGGUGGGUUUGACUUGGUGUGUGGUUGCUAUACCUGGUGUCAACUCCAUUUGGAAUAGCUGAUUUCUCUUUCCCAGCAGGUACCAGCUGCAGAGAGCUUGUUCUUGGUAAAGGAUAGGAGAUUGUGUCCACUUGCCCUCUUUCUUUUUUUAGGGUAUGUUGAGACAAAGUUUUUCUGUGUAGCCUUGGCUGUCCUAGAAGUCACUGUGAAGACAAGGCUGGCCUCAAACUCAGAGAGAGAUCUGCCCCCUUCUCUGCCUCCCGAGUGCUGGGAUUACAAGUGUGUGCUGCCAUGCCCAUGAGCUGGAGUGGCUGCCUCCUGAAAGAACCUUUUGCCCAGAAUAGCACCCAGACUUGAUGUUCCCCCAAUUAUUGACAUUAUUGAGAUCAUGUCACAGGACACAUUUAUGAGCACUAUCUCUGCAGGAAAUAUUUUAUGAACAGUGUGAUGACAAAAUGAAGAUUUUGUCUUUUCAGGGACCAUCUUUUGAGGCCACAGUGGCAAGUGGAGGUAGUGCCGGCUCAGAAAAGGCGCCGACUUCUUUGCUAACAGGAAUAUCAGAAUGGCUUGCCUAUAAAUGGAGGAAAAGUAUGCAGCCAGAACUAACUGGAGCUAAAGUGGUGGGAAUGGGGUCUGUUUAGAAGAGUGAAGUUUUACAUUGUAGAUAACUGGCAGAUCAGCUACAUACUGCAGCUGGUCUGUUCAUGGCCUGUUCUAAUGACAUGCAAUUGGUCAGACAGGAAAAUUAGUAGUACCAGAACUUUUUUACUUUUUUAACUCCAAUUAAGCUAUCUACUGUCCCAUUGCACACUUCUGUGUUUGCCUGUCAGGAUAUCUGGAGCCAUCCAGUAUUUGGCUGGGACAAAGGACAACAAAGUAAUUGUAGCUAUUAGCAAAGACCGAGAAGAUGCCAUUUCCAAGUGCAGAUAUGGAAUAGUCACAGAUUUAUUUAAUGGUUUAUGAGGUACUGAAGAAAAAAAACUAGAUCAAGGUCAUAAUCACGCCUUAAAACAAUUUGGAGGCAAGGCCAUUGAUACUCUGAGUUCAAGGUCAACCUGAUCUACAGAGCAAGUUCCCAGACAGCCCGGACUACACAGAG
rnacentral:lncRNA from 1 species